rnacentral:rRNA from 1 species
GCGAAAACUUUACAAUGCUGGCAACAGCGAUAAGGGAACCUCGAGUGCCAGGUUACAAAUCUGGCUGUCGAGAUGCCUAAAAAGCAUUUCAUAGCAUGGGCCGGGCAAGACCGGUGCCAGCCGCCGCGGUAACACCGGCGGCUCGAGUGGUAACCGUUAUUAUUGGGUCUAAAGGGUCUUUAGCCGGCCGGAUAAGUCUCUUGAGAAAUCUGGCAGCUUAACUGUCAGGCUUUCAGGAGAUACUGUCUGGCUCGAGGCCGGGAGAGGUGAGAGGUACUUCAGGAGUAGGGGUGAAAUCUUGUAAUCCUUGAAGUACCACCAGUGUCGAAGGCGUCUUACCAGAACGUACCUGACGGCAAGGUACGAAAGCUAGGGGCACGAACC